GAGCUGUGUUGUUGAUAUUUGUCUUCAGAAGUGGCUGUAAUAUGGCUAUGCUUCUUAUGGGUAAAAAGCUAUCCUAAGUGUCUUUACUCAGGUGGUUUUUGAACUGGAAUGCACUGUUACCUUGAGUUGCCAGUUCAACCACCAGGUGGCCAUCAGCGAGCAGAAGUCGGCCUGUCCUUGGGUGGCGGCUCUAUCCCAGCUGUGGGGAUACGAAGGGGAAAAGCAGAAGCUCACCUCUGGUCACCAGCGCUCAUUUUAAGAUUUCUUGAUUGUCGUUACUACUCUCACCACUGCUGAGCUCUUGAUUUCUGCUAUUAAUACAC
ensembl:lncRNA